rnacentral:rRNA from 1 species
GAUGAACGCUGGCGGCGUGCCUAAUACAUGCAAGUCGAGCGAACGGACGAGAAGCUUGCUUCUCUGAUGUUAGCGGCGGACGGGUGAGUAACACGUGGAUAACCUACCUAUAAGACUGGGAUAACUUCGGGAAACCGGAGCUAAUACCGGAUAAUAUUUUGAACCGCAUGGUUCAAAAGUGAAAGACGGUCUUGCUGUCACUUAUGGAUGGAUCCGCGCUGCAUUAGCUAGUUGGUAAGGUAACGGCUUACCAAGGCAACGAUGCAUAGCCGACCUGAGAGGGUGAUCGGCCACACUGGAACUGAGACACGGUCCAGACUCCUACGGGAGGCAGCAGUAGGGAAUCUUCCGCAAUGGGCGAAAGCCUGACGGAGCAACGCCGCGUGAGUGAUGAAGGUCUUCGGAUCGUAAAACUCUGUUAUUAGGGAAGAACAUAUGUGUAAGCAACUGUGCACAUCUUGACGGUACCUAAUCAGAAAGCCACGGCUAACUACGUG